rnacentral:rRNA from 1 species
GGGUGAUCGGCCACAUUGGGACUGAGAUACGGCCCAGACUCCUACGGGAGGCAGCAGUGGGGAAUAUUGCACAAUGGGCGGAAGCCUGAUGCAGCGACGCCGCGUGAGGGAUGACGGCCUUCGGGUUGUAAACCUCUUUCAGCAGGGACGAAGCGUAAGUGACGGUACCUGCAGAAGAAGCACCGGCUAACUACGUGCCAGCAGCCGCGGUAAUUA